rnacentral:rRNA from 1 species
UGGGGGAUAUUGCACAAUGGGCGAAAGCCUGAUGCAGCGACGCCGCGUGGGGGAUGAAGGCCUUCGGGUUGUAAACUUCUUUUGCUCUGAACAAGGCAUGCCUUUGGGGUGUGUUGAGUGUAGGGGUUGAUUAGCGCCGGCUAACUACGUGCCAGCAGCCGCGGUAGUACGUAGGGCGCGAGCGUUGUCCGGAAUUAUUGGGCGUAAAGGGCUUGUAGGUGGCUGGUUGCGUCUGUCGUGAAAGCUCAUGGCUUAACUGUGGGUUUGCGGUGGGUACGGGCUGGCUUGAGUGCAGUAGGGGAGGCUGGAAUUCCUGGUGUAGCGGUGGAAUGCGCAGAUAUCAGGAGGAAUACCGGUGGCGAAGGCGGGUCUCUGGGCUGUUACUGACGCUGAGGAGCGAAAGCGUGGGGAGCGAACAGG